rnacentral:rRNA from 1 species
GGAAAACAUUUAGAAAAACUUAGUGGCGAACGGGUGAGUAACGCGUGGGAAUUUACCUUAUGGCGAGGGAUAACUUUUGGAAACGAAAGCUAAUACCUCAUACGCUGAAAAGUGAAAGUAUUUUAUUUAAGAUACACCGUAAGAGAAGCCCGCGUCUGAUUAGCUUGUUGGUGAGGUAAUGGCUUACCAAGGCGAUGAUCAGUAGCUGGUCUGAGAGGAUGAGCAGCCACAUUGGGGCUGAGACACGACCCAAACUCC